AUGUCAUCAUAACGUAAGACUGAAUGGUGCCCUGUACCUGUCUUGAGGAGAAUGGGUCCCACAAUGGUGUUCAUGGUGUUACUCGCUCAACAGUCUUACCGUGAUUGCCCACUGGGUGCUGGUGAUUCAGAUGUGAAUAAUACACACUCUCCAAGCUAGCUGACAGCCCAGUUGGAGGACCAGUUCAGGGCAUAAAUAACACACUGUGUUUAGACUCCAGCACAGUCAGGGGAAUGACUAACAAGGACAAAGAGGCGUCCCAAAGCCAAGAGUGUUUGAGGUGCAUUGAAAGAGGAUCGUUCAAAACCAAGGCUUCAGAGAUAGACUCGUGGAAGACAGGCUAGUGCCUCGGAGAGCACCGCCAUAAAUUGGUUCAGAGAUGAAUGCAAGUAGGGGAGUUGGCUGGCACCCAUGUUCAAAUGGCAUCCACCUAGACACCUGGGCAGUGAGCUCAACCUGGUUGAUACAUCAAGAAUCCAGUUUCAGUUUCCAGCUUGCCGAAUACAGAGGCUCACUGUCGUCUGUAACUCCAGUUCCAUGGAUGCCCACGUGCUCCUCUGACUGCCACUGGUAUCAGGCACAUACAUAAUGCACAUACAUACACGCAUCCUCCAUGAUUGGAGGUCUAUCAUGACACACCUGGUCUCCACAGUGGCCGCUGCCCACUCUUCCAGCCAUGUUCUUGUGCUGAUUCAAGGGAUCGAACUCAGCUGGCCAACCUUUCAAGGCUAGCUCUUGUGCUGAGCCAUCUCUCUAAGCCCUGG